rnacentral:rRNA from 1 species
CCUACNGGCUGCACCAGUGGGGAAUAUUGCACAAUGGGCGCAAGCCUGAUGCAGCCAUGCCGCGUGUAUGAAGAAGGCCUUCGGGUUGUAAAGUACUUUCAGCGGGGANGAAGGUGUUGANNUUANUAACCUCAGCAAUUGACGUUACCCGCAGAAGAAGCACCGGCUAACUCCGUGCCAGCAGCCGCGGUAAUACGGAGGGUGCAAGCGUUAAUCGGAAUUACUGGGCGUAAAGCGCACGCAGGCGGUCUGUCAAGUCGGAUGUGAAAUCCCCGGGCUCAACCUGGGAACUGAAUUCGAGACUGGCAGGCUAGAGUCUUGUAGAGGGGGGUAGAAUUCCAGGUGUAGCGGUGAAAUGCGUAGAGAUCUGGAGGAAUACCGGUGGCGAAGGCGGCCCCCUGGACAAAGACUGACGCUCAGGUGCGAAAGCGUGGGGAGCAAACAGGAUUAGAUACCCGAGUAGUC